GUCUACAGCUAUGUCACCCUGAACAAGCCCGAUGCCUGAUCCUGGAAGAUAAGCAGGUUUGGGUCUGAUUAGUACUUGGAUGAGAGACAACCUAGGAAGACCAGGUGCUAUAGGCA
ensembl:rRNA 5S_rRNA 5S ribosomal RNA